GGAAGUAUAGCUUAGUGGUUGAGCACUUUCCUAGCAAGAUUGAGGUCCUAGGUUCAAUUCCCCAUAUUGCCA
rnacentral:tRNA from 1 species